rnacentral:lncRNA from 1 species
GUGUCUUGGAUGUGAAGGUUUUUAGAACCUGUUUUUGUGCUCAUUCUUCUUAAGUGUCUACCUGUCACCCAGCUCUCACCUGUGCCUCUAAGAAGCUACAGAAUGAAUGUACAGAGGCCAUAGCCCAGUAAACUGUGUCAGCAGACAAGAUAAACCAGCUUGAGGGUAACCAAGAGCCUGAAACAUGUUGGAACAAGACACCCCAUCUUCUCACUCCAGCUAUUUCUCUGGCUAUUCUGCAUGCUUGGAAUGUUCUCCCUCACCAUCUCUGCUUCCUGGAUUUCCUGACUUCCUUCAAGUCCUGUGCUAAAAUCCAACCUUAAACAAUAAGCUUUUCUUCAACCCUCUUUAGUCUACUGCCUUACUUAUGAAUGAUUAGUUAAUUAAUUAUUGUCAAUUUAUCCUUUAUUUAGCUUGUUUAUUCAUAGCUGUUUUAUGUUAUUUCCCUCAUUAAUUCUUAAUAAUCAAGGUCAGGAUGAUAGGGAACUGUAGUAAAGAAUGAAUAAGAAGGGGGCAGCUAGGUGGCUUAGGCCUAAAGAUGGGAGGUCCUGGGUUCAAAUCUAGCUUCAGACACUUCCUAGUUGUGUGACCCUGGACAAGUCACUUAACACUCAUUGUCUAGUUUUUGCCAUUCUUCUGCCUUGAAAUCA